GAAGACAGUGAGACCACCCUGAACACGCCUGAUCUUGUCUGAUCUCAGAAGCUAAGAGGGAUGGGGCCUGGUUAGUACUUGAAUGAAUGGGGGAAGGAAAUCAGAGAUAAGCUGUUGCCC
rnacentral:rRNA from 1 species